GUAGGUGAACCUGCGGAGGGAUCAUUAACACGUGCCCAAAACACGUUUUAAACCAAUCGCUCUGUGAACACAAACCCAACUCCCUUCACAUGUGGACGACCGAACAACCAUCAGGGUGGAGAGCAUGUGCAUAUGGAAUAAUCGAAUCGGAAACGAGGAGACUCCGUAUGUCGUGUGACUAUGGCUCGGUCUAGGGCUCCUUCGAGAGUCCAAUCCUGUGUGAAGCGAUGCGCGACCACCUGGCAGUGUG
rnacentral:misc_RNA from 1 species